rnacentral:rRNA from 1 species
UCCAGACUCCUACGGGAGGCAGCAGUGGGGGAUAUUGCACAAUGGGGGGAACCCUGAUGCAGCGACGCCGCGUGGGUGAAGGAGCGUUUCGGCGCGUAAAGCCCUAUCGGCAGGGAAGAAGGAGGACGGUACCUGACUAAGAAGCCCCGGCUAACUACGUGCCAGCAGCCGCGGUAAUACGUAGGGGGCAAGCGUUAUCCGGAUUUACUGGGUGUAAAGGGGGCGCAGACGGCAGCGCAAGCCAGGAGUGAAAGCCCGGGGCCCAACCCCGGGACUGCUCUUGGAACUGCGCGGCUGGAGUGCAGGAGGGGCAGGCGGAAUUCCUGGUGUAGCGGUGAAAUGCGUAGAUAUCAGGAGGAACACCGGCGGCGAAGGCGGCCUGCUGGACCGUAACUGACGUUGAGGCUCGAAAGCGUGGGGAGCAAACAGGAUUAGAUACCCCUGUA